rnacentral:rRNA from 1 species
UACGUAGGGUGCGAGCGUUUGUCCGGAAUUACUGGGCGUAAAGAGCUCGUAGGUGGUUUGUCGCGUUGUUCGUGAAAACUCACAGCUCAACUGUGGGCGUGCGGGCGAUACGGGCAGACUGGAGUACUGCAGGGGAGACUGGAAUUCCUGGUGUAGCGGUGGAAUGCGCAGAUAUCAGGAGGAACACCGGUGGCGAAGGCGGGUCUCUGGGCAGUAACUGACGCUGGAGGAGCGAAAAGCCGUGGGGGAGCGAACAGGAU